AGCUGUGGCUAAGGUGUUCUGUUUUUAUCUAGUGCAUUUGACCAUCACAGCAGGGCUUCCAUAGAGAGAGGAAGUGAUCUCAAUUAUGUUUUAAGAAUUAUAUGUAUAAAAUUGGAUAGAAGAGGACAAGAAUGGAAGACAGAAGUGACUUUCAAGGCCAUUUUAUUGAUCCUGUGAUGGUUUUGGGAGAUGGAGCCUUUGGGAAGUGAUUGUGAAGUGGAAUUAGUGCUAAGAAUGCUCCCUUGCUCCUUCUACCAUCUGAAGAUUCUGGGAGAAAGAACCAUCUAUGAGGAAGCAAACCAGACACUGAAUCUGCCAGUGCCCUGAUCAUGAAUUUCCCAACUUCUAGAACUGUUCUCUGGAGAUGCUGAUGCCAUUGGUCUGGAAACCUCACUUUGCUAAUCUUCAGUUACUUUGAUCUACCAAGUCAGUGUCUUCUCAACUCAGCACUGUCUGCAUCAGAAGAGAAGGAGAUAUCACUUCCAUCACCAUCCCUAAGGACACUGGGAAAUUUGAAGCCAUUUGGUAUCACAGAUGCGACUUUUAUUCUUAGUGGACAAUAACAAUAAAAGAAUCCAAACAAACAUAAAUUUUAACCAAAAUCUUUCCAUUCCUUUUUGUUUCUGUUUCUGGCCAAAAUACAGACCUUGCUUUCUCAAGCUAAAUUGUGUCACAGGUGGUUCAUUGUUAUGGCUAUUUUUUAAGUGAUGCUAUUUUCUUUUUAUCUCAAGAAUUUUAAUUUUGAACAUUUCUCAGAGCCAUGGGUUAUAUUCAUAAAAUUGUUUUUGAUUAUCGUCAUUCUCAUAUCCCCUAAUUUACAAAGGUCAGGUGAGUUAAAAUAAAAACUGUGAAGAUAUAAGAACAUACAUUAAAUGUUGUAAAAUUCAAAACACCAUUCAGAAAGUUCAUAAAAAAGACUUUCUAUUGGUCCAGGUAAUAUAACACUCUCAGAAUUCCUAAAACCAUCAGAAACUAGCCAUUAGCUCAAUUUUCUAAAACAAACACAAAAACAUAAG
ensembl:lncRNA